rnacentral:rRNA from 1 species
UACGUAGGGGGCUAGCGUUGUCCGGAAUUAUUGGGCGUAAAGAGCUCGUAGGCGGUCUGUCGCGUCUGCUGUGAAAACCUAGGGCUUAACCCUGGGCCUGCAGUGGGUACGGGCAGACUAGAGUGCGGUAGGGGAGACUGGAAUUCCUGGUGUAGCGGUGAAAUGCGCAGAUAUCAGGAGGAACACCGGUGGCGAAGGCGGGUCUCUGGGCCGUAACUGACGCUGAGGAGCGAAAGCGUGGGGAGCGAACAGG